rnacentral:rRNA from 1 species
UACAGAGGUCCCAAGCGUUGUUCGGAUUCACUGGGCGUAAAGGGUGCGUAGGUGGUGAGGUAAGUUUGAUGUGAAAUCUCCGGGCUCAACCCGGAAAUGGCAUUGAAUACUAUCUCGCUUGAGAGUCGGAGGGGGGACUGGAAUACUUGGUGUAGCAGUGAAAUGCGUAGAUAUCAAGUGGAACACCAGUGGCGAAGGCGAGUCCCUGGACGACUUCUGACACUGAGGCACGAAAGCUAGGGGAGCAAACAGG